rnacentral:rRNA from 1 species
UACGGAGGAUGCGAGCGUUAUCCGGAUUUAUUGGGUUUAAAGGGUGCGUAGGCGGACGCUUAAGUCAGCGGUAAAAUUGCGGGGCUCAACCUCGUCGAGCCGUUGAAACUGGGUGCCUUGAGUGCAACAGAGGUAGGCGGAAUUCGUGGUGUAGCGGUGAAAUGCUUAGAUAUCACGAAGAACUCCGAUUGCGAAGGCAGCAUACCGGCGCCCAACUGACGCUGAAGCACGAAGGCGUGGGUAUCGAACAGG